rnacentral:pre_miRNA from 1 species
CCUUCACCCCUGCGUCUGACAUACGACACUGAGUCAGUAAAAUCUUCAGUGUCCCUUGUUUGUUGCAGUGGUCAAGGGA